rnacentral:rRNA from 1 species
UACGUAGGGGGCUAGCGGUAUCCGGAAUUACUGGGCGUAAAGGGUGCGUAGGUGGUUUCUUAAGUCAGAGGUGAAAGGCUACGGCUCAACCGUAGUAAGCCUUUGAAACUGAGAAACUUGAGUGCAGGAGAGGAGAGUAGAAUUCCUAGUGUAGCGGUGAAAUGCGUAGAUAUUAGGAGGAAUACCAGUUGCGAAGGCGGCUCUCUGGACUGUAACUGACACUGAGGUACGAAAGCUUGAGGAGCAAACAGG